AUAAAGACAUUGACGGGAAAUAGUAAACAUCCCCGCCGCUCACAGGGAGCCGUUGUAUAGUGGAAAACGGCAGCGGCCGAUCGUUGAACUCGUCCCCGAGUCGCAGGCUGAAAAUAGUAGGCCGUGCCGGUCAUCCGCCGUUACAGGUUUUGAGUGCAUGACCCUUGGGUCAUGAAUGAGAGUGGUACCGCGAAUCCUUCGUCUCUUUG
rnacentral:ncRNA from 1 species